rnacentral:sRNA from 2 species
GGUGCCAUGAUGGGGCUGCCUUUGGCAUGACAGAUAGAUGUCUUGAUACUUCGCAUAUCAUUCGCCGUCGCACGAACCACUUGUUGGUCCCACCACGCCACGAUUUUCACAACUUCGUUUCUCCUAACUUAAUAUGCUUCAUUAUUUUUGUUUCCUUAAUUAUUCCAACAUAUUGACUAUAUUUAGCCUUUCUUAUUUCUUAUUUCUUUUACGUUCUGUUUUAUUUUUCUUUUUGGUAAUUUUACCUAACUAGUUCUAUGAAAGCUUCGCACGAUGUGCCACUUGUCAAUUAAGUUCAUAUUUUAAUUUUCCAAACAAACUUGGUAUCAGAGACAAAAUUUAAUUUUAAAAGUCUUUUUUUCUGAACUAUGAUUGCGCCCAUAUAAUGGUUCCGUCCGUAUCCUGACCAUAUCCUGCAGUCAGUAAGGAGGUA